AACUCUCAACCUUCAACUUUUUUAUUAAGGCUGAAGGCUUGGACUUGAGCGUUGCUGGUUUUUACUAACCGGCUCGCUUGAAAUGAAUUAGCAGAUCCUUUUUGUAAUCGGUUCCACUCGACGUGAUAAGUAUUUCGCCGAGGACAUACGAAAGUAUGGCCGAGAUAAAGAAAGUCUUUAGAUCCGCUUCUAAUUCUUAGAUAGAGCUUGCUCUACUAAACCCCAUUUUAUG
rnacentral:misc_RNA from 1 species